rnacentral:rRNA from 1 species
AGAGUUUGAUCCUGGCUCAGGACGAACGCUGGCGGCGUGCUUAACACAUGCAAGUCGAACGGAAAGGCCCUUCGGGGUGCUCGAGUGGCGAACGGGUGAGUAACACGUGGGUGAUCUGCCCUGCACUUUGGGAUAAGCCUGGGAAACUGGGUCUAAUACCGAAUAGGACUCCGGACUGCAUGGUCUGGGGUGGAAAGCUUUUGCGGUGUGGGAUGGGCCCGCGGCCUAUCAGCUUGUUGGUGGGGUGAUGGCCUACCAAGGCGACGACGGGUAGCCGGCCUGAGAGGGUGACCGGCCACACUGGGACUGAGAUACGGCCCAGACUCCUACGGGAGGCAGCAGUGGGGAAUAUUGCACAAUGGGCGCAAGCCUGAUGCAGCGACGCCGCGUGAGGGAUGACGGCCUUCGGGUUGUAAACCUCUUUCAGCACAGACGAAGCGCGAGUGACGGUAUGUGCAGAAGAAGGACCGGCCAACUACGUGCCAGCAGCCGCGGUAAUACGUAGGGUCCGAGCGUUGUCCGGAAUUACUGGGCGUAAAGAGCUCGUAGGUGGUUUGUCGCGUUGUUCGUGAAAACUCACAGCUUAACUGUGGGCGUGCGGGCGAUACGGGCAGACUGGAGUACUGCAGGGGAGACUGGAAUUCCUGGUGUAGCGGUGGAAUGCGCAGAUAUCAGGAGGAACACCGGUGGCGAAGGCGGGUCUCUGGGCAGUAACUGACGCUGAGGAGCGAAAGCGUGGGGAGCGAACAGGAUUAGAUACCCUGGUAGUCCAA